rfam:Schistosoma mansoni strain Puerto Rico chromosome 2, complete genome
GCACAGCUGAGGAGCCCCACAAUGGGUCGAAACGGCCGUCCAGUAC